rnacentral:rRNA from 1 species
UACAGAGGGGGCAAGCGUUGUUCGGAAUUACUGGGCGUAAAGGGCGCGUAGGCGUCCGCCUAAGUCGGACGUGAAAUCCCUCGGCUCAACUGAGGAACUGCCUUUGAAACUGUCGGGCUUGAGGCCGGGAGGGGGUAGCGGAAUUCCCAGUGUAGCGGUGAAAUGCGUAGAUAUUGGGAGGAACACCGGUGGCGAAGGCGGCUACCUGGACCGGUUCUGACGCUGAUGCGCGCAAGCGUGGGUAGCAAACAGG